rnacentral:rRNA from 1 species
AGAACGAACGCUGGCGGCAUGCCUAACACAUGCAAGUCGAACGGGCCCUUCGGGGCUAGUGGCGCACGGGUGCGUAACGCGUGGGAAUCUGCCCUUAGGUUCGGAAUAACUCAGGGAAACUUGAGCUAAUACCGGAUAAUGACUUCGGUCCAAAGAUUUAUCGCCUAGGGAUGAGCCCGCGUAGGAUUAGCUUGUUGGUGAGGUAAGAGCUCACCAAGGCGACGAUCCUUAGCUGGUCUGAGAGGAUGAUCAGCCACACUGGGACUGAGACACGGCCCAGACUCCUACGGGAGGCAGCAGUGGGGAAUAUUGGACAAUGGGCGAAAGCCUGAUCCAGCAAUGCCGCGUGAGUGAUGAAGGCCUUAGGGUUGUAAAGCUCUUUUGGCGGGGACGAUAAUGACGGUACCGCAGAAUAAGCCCCGGCUAACUUCGUGCCAGCAGCCGC